CUGCGAUGCAAAGAGUUGAUCCGCCUUCAUCUGAGAAGGCAGUGAUGCAAAGAGCUAAUCCUGCGCCCACAAAGGUUAUGCAAGGGGUUGAAGCUGCACCUGUGAAGUCAAUGCAGAGAGCUAAUCCCACGUCCACAAAGGUGAUGCAAGAGGUUGAAGCUACACCUGUGAAAGCAAUGCAAAUAGCUGGCCAUAUCACUCUUUCGAAAGUGUUCAACAGAGAGAGUACUCAAGUUCAGUUGAGGAAAGAAACAGGAGGUCCCCUA
rnacentral:lncRNA from 1 species